CCAGGGUCCACCAGGUCAUCCGGGCGUCCAAGGUCCUCCUGGACAAAGAGGCCACAAAGGAGAACGAGGAUUUUCUGGCUUUAAAGGAGAACAAGGACCUCAAGGUGUUGCCGGUCCAGAGAUGACUGAUGCUACUCUUCAACGUUAUUUCAAGCCCGUUGCAACUUUUCAAAAUGAAGUA